AUACGUAGGUGGCAAGCGUUGUCCGGAUUUACUGGGUGUAAAGGGAGCGCAGGCGGGGAAGCAAGUCAGUUGUGAAAACUAUGGGCUUAACUCAUAGAUUGCAGUUGAAACUGUUUCUCUUGAGUGGAGUAGAGGUAAGCGGAAUUCCGAGUGUAACGGUGAAAUGUGUAGAGAUUCGGAGGAACACCAGUGGCGAAGGCGGCUUACUGGGCUCUAACUGACGCUGAGGCUCGAAAGUGUGGGGAGCAAACAGGAUUAGAUACCCUGGUAGUCCACACUGUAAACGAUGAUUACUAGGUGUGGGGGGUCUGACCCCUUCCUUGCCGCAGUUAACGCAAUAAGUAAUCCACCUGGGGAGUACGACCGCAAGGUUGAAACUCAAAGGAAUUGGCGGG
rnacentral:rRNA from 1 species